rnacentral:tRNA from 1 species
AGCGGAGUGGGGGAGUCAGGAGUCCCCGUUGGGCUCAUAACCCAAAGCUCGCUGGUUCAAAUCCAGUCUCCGCUA